rnacentral:lncRNA from 1 species
ACAGGAUGCCACGUGGCAGCAAACAAAGCCGACACGUGUCACACGCCACAUCAGCAAGUAGCCAUAUCAGCACGACACGUGUCGUUUGCCACGUCAGCAUGACUCGUGUUAGGUGCCACGUCAGCGUGACACAUGUCGGGCUCCACGUCAGCACGACACGUGUCAUGCCACGUGGCCUGCCACGUUAGCAGACAUGUCAGCUGCCAGCGUGGCAAAUGUCGUCUGUUGGCUAACGAGACAGCAUGUUAUGACGAAAGCAACGUACACCCAUGAUGAAACUAUUUUGUCAUAGAAUGGAUUCACUUCUAUGAUGGUACGUCUUUCGUCAUAGAUUGAAUGCACAUCUAUGACGAAAUUAUGCAUUUCAUCAUGGAAGUCAAUCUAUGACGCUCAUUCCAUGACGAACGAAAUUAUGCAUUCCAGAUGAAGUUUAGUGACGAUGUUGGAGUUUUCUGUGACGAAAGUGGAACAUCAUUGAUGAGCAGAUGUCUAGUAGUGAUAAAGAUUAAAUUCCUACCAAAGCCAUAUAUGAUACAUUUAGAGUUAGGAAAAUUUUUGCACAUUCAUGUUGCUUGCUUUACAUUGAGUUUAGUCAACCUUUGGAGUAUACCUUAUGAGAGUCUUGUCAUGCUUUUAAAAUUAAGAUCACUUACGAACUCCACCCACAUAUGCAUUACUCCUACUCUGGGAUGUAAGCACAAUCAUUUUCACCAUCAUCCAGAUCCACCUUAAAAAUGUUCUGUCUCCUACACUAGGAGUAAACACCCAAAAAUAUACCCUAAAGGACAGCCUCCAUUUAAUUGCUCUAUGUUCUUAUCAUUAUCUCUCCAAUUAUUUAUAUUCAAAGGAUGCAUGUGGCUAUGCAAAAUUAUAAAAAAAAGAAAGAAAAAAAGAGGAGUAAAAGAUGGACAAGUGUCCCAGCAAUUAAAACAAUGGGUACAUCGAUGCCCGCCUCCCAGUAAAAAAAAGAGAGAGAGAGAAAGAGAGAAUAAAAAUAACCCAUGUUUCCGUGCGAAAAGUUCUAAGUUUUAAAGGAGGGAGUAAUUUUCAAAGAGCAAAAGUAGAAAUAGGAUUAGCUACUAAAUACUAUAUAUGCACCUAUCCACCAUAUUCCAUACACACGCACAUCUUGAUUUGAUUGUAUGUCUUGAUUCUCUGUGGAUCCAGUGUUUGACUUUAUAAUAUAUGAAUUGCACGUAUGCUCAUCCUUGUUAUUGUCACUCCUAUAAGCUCCACUAUAUAUAUAUCCUUAGUUGUAGGAAGGCAUAACCUCAUUAAUGCCUCAGUGAGAUCCAUAAAUACUAUAUAAUAAGAGACUUGAGGGUGUCAUACAAUUAAGCUCUGAGUUUUUUUUUGAAAGCUUGCAAAACUCCAGAAUAUUGGUGCCGUGAAGAAUUUGAGACAUAGUGCCCGACUUGAUUGUUUUAUCACUCAAUUACUCAAGACUUAUGAAAAGUUGUAAAGCUCCAUGGUUAAAGGUAAAAUAGGUAAGUUGGAGAGAUAGACCGGAGGAAAAUUUAUGUUUAAAAGCAAGUAAGUAGGCUUGGGUUGUUUGCCAAGGGACUGGCAAAAGGUAAGCUUGGGGGAAUUGUUGACGGUCAAUAACGUCAACUUUUAUUAGAACUUUAAACCCGAAGGAGAACAUGAAUACACACUAGUAUAAGGUUUAAACUAACAAUUUCCACGAGUUUUGCAUAUUCUGUGUUUUCCAGGGUUUAUUUAAUAGAGAGCUGAAAAGAGGGAUUCUAGUGCAUAUUUACCACGAAACUCAUCCACGCCGGAAAAUAUCAUGAGAAGACUCAGGAAGGGUCUAGAAGACACUCGAAGAAACGAGAGCCGUGGAGGAGGAAAACUGGGGCCGGCCGGCCCCACCCUGUGGCCGAUCAGCGCCCUACUGUGCCCGAUGCCCGCUGGCUUCUAGAGUCUUCCUCCCACGCCUCCUUGGAAGCCAAGCAAAGUAUCCCUCCGUUGAUUUUAAGUCAGUUUGAUCUGACGAUGUACACAAGAUGAAGACUCAGAUCGCUAACGUGACGGUUCCUUGCCCCCUACUCCACCUCGGCCUAUAUAAUGAUGCCCAAGGCUCCCCCCAAGAGGUAUUCUACACCCCGGUGCUUCAUAUUCUCUACAUAAUUAGGGUUAGGGUGCCUCUAGUUGUUCUAGAUCUAGUUCAUCUAGUUCUAGUUCAUCUAGAUGUAGCAAUUAGGAGAGACUAGUUCUUCUAGAUCUAGUCUUGCUUAGAGAUUAGAGAGAUUAAGUAUAGGAGUAGAGAUUUUGGAGGAGUUAUGGCCUGUUGGUGCUUCUUCGUGGUUGUAUUCUUUGGGAUUCAGUUCCCUCGCCUAGAGCUACAUUCUGAGGUACUCUUUGUACUUACCCAUCUAGUUUAAGUAAGCAACUUGUUCUUAUUUGUUGUUUGGUUCACAACUCAUAUUGGGUGCUUUGAUCUUGGUCAUUACUUGGUUGAAGUAGUAUUUCGUAGUGUAGGUGUGGUGCCUAGGCUAGGGUUACUUGUGAAUGUCCCCUGAUCAGCCGGACAGUGGUAGUUCGCGUAGGUGACAGCUGCAUUGAUUCCUCUAUAGUCCACUUCCUGUUGAUAGAUUGAUAGGCUUAUAGGUGCCUGAUAGGGGGUUACUCUGGUUCUCCCCCUAUUCGGGUUACUUGCCUGAUAAGACGAUAUUAUACAAAGUUUACCGAAGUCGGAACAAGAGUGCAUUAGUAUUUCCUUUUUCUUGAUAUGAUCUAGCCUAAUUGUAGGGUUAAGUCUAUAUACUUUGUCAUCAUCACAACUAUUCCCUAUGGAUACGAUAUUUAAAACCUCCGGGUAAAAUAUGACACUGGUUGAUAUCUGUGCACUUGCGGAUAAUCCUACUUAAAAUCUAUUUAAAUGGAGUGCAGUUAAUUUAUACCAACAAACCUCCUAGCCAAAUCAAAGAACAAAGGUGACAUCAUCAUCACUAGAGGUAUGCAGCUAACAAGGCUCAAAAUAUAGAGAUACACAAGAGCGGAAGAAGAAGUCCACUUCGAAGGACUAAAAAUAUCGAACCCUCGCCGUAAGGUAACAUCGUUAGUUAUCUAUAUCUACUUCCUUACAUUGUAUGAGUUAAUUUCUCUUUAGUAUGUUUACUUUUCUAUAUUGGCAAUGCAUAGAAAUAACAAAAUUAAAUAGUCUCACAUUAGGCUAUAUUCAUGCAUCUUAGAAAAAAUAUUAAGCUCCAUAUGAAACCCUUGUAGUGUAAAAGCUGUAGGAGUUCUCACUGUAUUUGUACUUUAUGCAUAUAAACCCAUAAAAUCCAAAAAUAUUAACUGAGCAACUGUUGUCUUCAAAAUACUUUGAAACCACCACAACACCCAAUCCUCUAAAAAUGGUAAUCAUUAACGUUUUAUCCUAAUACCGUUCCACAAGUUUUGGUGUUUUGUGAGAGAUUUCUGUAGGUUGACUCCAAGAGCCUGCUUACUUAAGAAUCUUCAUCUUCAUCACUUGAAGUACACCUUUUUUCCAUACAGCUGACCCAUGUAUGAAUGAAAUAACUUCUAGUGUGAUGAGAUUGAAGUAUACGAGGCAACACUUGCUCUUAUAAACAUGAGCGCCUCCAUGAGGACCACUCAGUUUCAAUAAGGGAGAAAGAGAAUAAAGCCGAAGAGCUGGAGCCAAAAAAGAGAGAAGCAAAAGAGACAGGAGCGAGAUGGAAGAAGGCACGUGCGACAUCACCUCGAAAUAGGUAGUUGACUGAGGUUACCUUAGACGAUGAACCCAUUCAGUAAGUGUUCUCCUCUAUCUAAGUCCUGUCGGUAGACUUUAAAUUCCGUACCCUAGCCCUAAGGUUAGAAUGGUAGUUGUCUCUUUAAAUGCAUUUGUAAUUUAUUUAGUAGCAUAAUUUUUUUACACACUAAAAGAUAUAAAAACAACAAAAAUAUUUACUGCAUUACUCAUGGCAUCACAAGCCCCAUGUGGAUACCCUAUGGAAUUUUCCAAAGGAACAUCCGCUGUGGUGGCAUAAAAUAAAAAUGACAAAAAAUAGCAUUUAAAUUCCUACAUCAUAAAUAGAAAAUUCAAAAAAGAGAGAAAAUUGAAAUCUUGUUUAAAUUAUACAACAUUAAAGCUAGCUCUUAAAGGUGAUCAAUUACUCUUUGGCUGACCGCUAACCUAUUAACAAAUUCGAGCCUCGAAUUUUGGUUUUCUUUUCAGAGUAAUUAUGCAGGAACAACACUAUGACAAGGGGAGAGUCUAUUAGUGGCACCCACCUAGAGCGCUGCCGGUUAGCUCACUCUGAAGAUCAUCAACACCAACUAUUGCAAACAUCUAGCUUGGGGGAGGAGCAUCCCCUAGUUAUCAGGUAACUAUACCUAGGCGACUAUCGGGUCUAUUUUAUACAGCCAUAAAAUACCAAAAAUAUGUGAGCACAUGAAGGUUCACAAUAGUAUCAUAAGAAAAUAUAAAAAUACCAAAAAUAUAUGGGCACACGAAGGUCCAUGUCUUUAGAGUCUCCUAAGUCCAAUAGAAAUGAACAAAAAACCAAGCAAAAUACAUAUUUAUAUAUUAAGGUGUGAUCAUAGAGUGUGUCCACAGUCAGUCUAGUUUAGAGUCAAAUAAAAAUUAGAGAAUAUUAAAAUUUUAUCUUGGAGAUGAUGAAUAGUUGCCCUACAGUAAUUCCUUUCAAGUGCCUAAUUUUCAACCAUGAAUUCUCCUGAGUCUUAGACAUGACCACUUUAAUAUAAGAAUUUACUCUGAACCUAAAAUUUGUGGAGGUAUAUGUUUAAGUUGAGUCUAGGUAAUUGAUUGAUAUUAUACAUGAAGGUUUAAGCUGCUAUUUAUCUUAUUCCUAGCACUACUAAGUUCUGGAAUUUAUUUUCAAAAAAAAAACCCAAAAAUCUUACAUGAUGAGCUCUUGUAUGAUAAAGAUUAAAUUCCUACCAAAGCCAUAUAUGAUACAUUUAGAGUUAGGAAAAUUUUUGCACAUUCAUGCUGCUUGCUUUACAUUGAGUUUAGUCAACCUUUGGAGUAUACCUUAUGAGAGUCUUGUAAUACUUUUAAAAUUAAGAUCACUUACGAACUCCACCCACAUAUGCAUUACUCCUACUCUGGGAUGUAAGCACAAUCAUUUUCACCAUCAUCUAGAUCCACCUUAAAAAUGUUCUUUCUCCUACACUAGGAGUAAACACCCAAAAAUAUACCCUAUAGGACAGCCCCCAUUUAAUUGCUCUAAGUUCUUAUCAUUAUCUCUCCAAUUAUUUAUAUUCAAAGGAUGCAUGUGGCUAUGCAAAAGUAUAAAAAAAGAAAGAAAAGUGGGAGUAAAAUAUGGACAAGUGUCCCAGCAAUUAAAACAAUGGGUACAUCGAUGCCCGCCUCCCAGUAAAAAAGAGAGAGAGAGAGAGAAUAAAAAUAGCCCAUGUUUCCCUACGAAAAGUUCUAAGUUUUAAAGGAGGGAGUAAUUUUCAAAGAGCAAAAGUAGAAAUAGGAUUAGCUACUAAAUACUAUAUAUGCACCUAUCCACCAUAUUCCAUACACACACAUCUUGAUUUGAUUGUAUGUCUUGAUUC